CUUAACUCCUCUUACAUGUAUUACAGGAAUGAGAUGAGAUGAGAUCUCUAGAUAUCCACGAGAAUUAAUUCGAUACCUAAUCAGUUGCCCCAAAUACAAAGCAUGUUGAGGAAUUUUUCCUUUUAGCCUCUUUUAUUCCCAGUUCAUUUGAAUAUCAUAUCUGACAGAAUUUCUUUCUCGCUUUUGAAGAUUUAAGAUGUUAAAUAUUAAAUUCUUUGCUUUUGGUCUUAUUUUUUCCUUCUCGUUGUUAUUUUGUGCACGUAUUUUGAUUCUGUUUGGAUGAAAAAGGGCCUUACAAGUUACAAUAGCUCUAUAUGAAGCAAAUUUGCGUUUGAAUUCUGCAUUUCCUUACCUAUGGUGCAUGGUUAAAUUUUGUUCUACUAGGAAGAAAAUUGCUAGUUUUGUUUUGAUCUUUUACGUCAACUAUACCAGAAUAUAUAAAAUUGGGAUUCUAAUUAAAGUGUGCUAUAUACUAGUGUGGGCGAAAGUUUGAAGCUUACUACUGCGUGUGCUUUUUAGGUGUUCGAUAAAAUACCUGAAGUUUGUCAAAUGUCAACACAGGCUUAACAUUGGGAAUUUUCCCAUGUUCUUGAGAGCCGAGGGUCUAUCAGAAACAGAAACAGCCUAUCUGCCCCACAAAGGUAGGGUAAGGUGUGCGUACAUCUUACCCUCUCCAGACCCCACUUGUGGGAUUACACUGGAUAUCCUAUCUACUGCAGCUGCUGCAACUAUUCACAAACUCAGAACAGAUGUCUUUCAGGGAUAGACAUUCUUGUUGAAUGGUGCAUGCUCUUAUCCUGGUGGUGAUGAUGGAGUAUAUCAGAAACUAUCAUGAGUAAAAAGGAGUGUGGUUUAUUUUGAUUGCACGUGAGAGAGAAUCCUAACACAUUAUCGAGCUGUUUACAUUAUAUUGAACAGUGCUGCGGGAGCCUUGGAGCAACGGUAAACGGGUUUGAACCGUGGAAUCUGGUGCUUGUUCAAGAUAAGCUGCCUACAUUACACCCCCAUGGGUUGGCCCUUCCCCGUACACUGCGUGAACGCGGGAUGCUUUGUGAAUUGUGAUCCUAGAGGUAGCUUCGAUCGUUAUGUUGGAUUUUAUUAAUGGCUAUUUUAAGUAAGUUGAAAACAUGCCCACUAAUCUAUGUUAUCGAUGUUUAAUUAGUUUUCGUCUUGAUAUAAAAUAAGUGGAAAUUCCUAACCUCCGAACAGGGCAGUAUGUACAUCAGUUUUCAGUUGAACUUUCAAGAAAAAGAUCAAGUGAUUCUGAUAUCUUAGGGAAUUUUAUGCACUUUGGAGGAAUAUAUUACAAGCUUUAGGUAAAGUGGUAUAGGCAUAAAGCAGAAUUCCCUUGUACAGUUUUGCUGGCAUGUGGAUAGGAAUGAAGUAAGGAUGUGCAUGUUAAGCUAUGAUGAUAAAUUCUUUCUUUUAGAUCUAAUCGACUUGAUUUUAUUGAGUUGCAUUGAACUAUAAUAUUGUAAAACUCUAGUAUAAGAACGUAUAUAGCCCUGACAUGCUAGAAAUAUAUAAUGUUAUUCAUCUGACCAAACUGUCUUGUUAAAUUGUCAGUCUUUUUUGUCAUUUUCAGUUUGCCUUUUUCUUUUAUCCGGAUUCAGGAUUUUCUGAUUGUUGAUAUCCAAGAUUUAAUAGUUGCUUAAUGUUGCUAUGUCAAACCAUAAUAAUAUUCCAUAGUUUCAU